rnacentral:rRNA from 1 species
GACGAACGCUGGCGGCGUGCUUAACACAUGCAAGUCGAACGAAGUGGCGAACGGGUGAGUAACGCGUAAUCAACCUGCCCUUCAGAGGGGGACAACAGUUGGAAACGACUGCUAAUACCGCAUACUGAAGGAGGGGAUUGCGUCUGAUUAGCUAGUUGGAGGGGUAACGGCCCACCAAGGCGAGUAUCAGUAGCCGGGCGUAGAGGAUGAACGGCCACAGUGGGACUGAGACACGGCCCAGACUCCUUCGGGAGGCAGCAGUGGGGAAUCUUCCGAAAUUGACGAAAGUCUGACGGAGCAACGCCGCGUGAGUGAGGACGGCCUUCGGGGUGGUAAGCUCUUUUAAUCGAGACGCGUUACCGGAAUAGAAAGCCACGGCUAACUACGUGCCAGCCGCCGCGGUAAUUC